AGAAAAUAGCACAGUUGAAUGAGCUUUGGAAAAUUAUUUGGCCAUGUAACCACUGCUACAGUGAAGUCUGGAACAUUUCCGUUGUCCGGAAGAUUCCUUCAUUCCCCUUUGCAAUUAAUCUCCUGCCCCCACACCCAGACCCAGGCAACCACUGAACUGUUUCCUGUCCCUGUAGUGUAGAUUUCCCUUUUGUAGAAUAUCGUAAAUGAAAUCACACAGCAUGUGCCCUCUCGGGGAAGGCUUCG
rnacentral:lncRNA from 10 species